UCUGGAUCAUGCUUCGGAAAGUGGAUUUGAAGGGAAGGAUGUUAACUGUCUCAGGAUAUGUUGUGCACAUUUGCCUUUGAUGGAAGGACCUUCUAGGAUGAAGGAAGGGGAGGUGAUGCUGACAGCAAGCAGAAGAAGAGGACCCAACCCCUGGCUGCUCUUCAUCCCUCAGAGAAUGGAUCCCAUCCAGGAUACUACGUUACGAAUAAUUCUGAUGUCUCUUUUUGGUGGUGACACUUUCUCAGACUUUCCUUGUU